AAAGAGCCACCUUAUUUCCAGCCCCCCACAGCACCUCUUCCACAAAAUCGGUGCUUCCCCUGCCCCUUCCCGUGCCAGGCCCAGCAGACCAGGCAGCCACCACCACCACCUCCCGACUCUCUCUACUUCCCCCUCCUGCCACCUCCCCCCCACGUUCCCCAGUCCCAGUGCUCCUAUCCCACACCCCCAGCCCUGUUCAUACCCCCAUCCUCCCUCUCCUACACUCCACCGACGGAGGUCCUGCUGAAGGGGAAGCCGCACGUCGUACCGUCGGUCCUACCAGCCACCUUCUAUACCCCGUUCUCGCGCUUCUACUCCCAGCCCCGGCCCUACCGCUAUCACAGGCGCUUAACACUACCCUCACUCUCCCUUCAAUACGAUGGUGCUGGGCGCUCUGUCCAUUUCUAUCGUGGGACCUAGGCCUCACAUCUAUUUCGGACCGGAAACCUCUGCCAGUAAAUUCAAGCUCCUGCAUCCGGACUUCAUCGGCUACCUGACAGAAAGGUUUCUGAAAUCCAAGUUGAUCAACACACGUUUUGGAGACAUGUACAUGCCUAGCACAGGAGCGCUCAUAUUGCUGACAGCCCUGCACGCCUGUGACCAGGUUAGUGCCUACGGAUUCAUCACUAACAACUACCAGAAGUACUCAGACCACUAUUUCGAACGAGAGAAGAAACCACUGAUAUUCUACGCAAACCAUGAUCUGUCCCUGGAAGCUGCGCUAUGGCGAGAUCUGCACAACGCCGGC
rnacentral:lncRNA from 1 species